UAUCUAUUAUGAUCCUAUUCCUAACCUGAAUUUCUGUUGAAAAAUAAGGACAGAGCUGUAUUAACAGAAUUAAAAAUUCUGUUAAUACAGAU
rnacentral:snoRNA from 1 species